GAUCUUGAUGGAAGAUUCCAUCACAGACACCAUCGUCUCACCAGACAGUUAUUUUUUGAGACCUGAGAACACUGGGAUUUUCUUACUUUUUUUAGUUUCAUGUUUGUCCAUUUGCCUCCAUGGCUCCUUCAGGGACGGGGAGGAGAUGAGUUUUUCUUUUGAGGUUUCUCCAUAGGGUGCAUGUUGAAUGGAUGCUGGUAUGCUGCUGCUGCUGCUGCUAAGUCACUUCAGUCGUGUCCGACUCUGUGCGACCCCAUAGACGGCAGCCCACCAGGCUCCCCCGUCCCUGGGAUUCUCCAGGCAAGAACACUGGAGUGGGUUGCCAUUUCCUUUUCAAAUGCAUGAAAGUAAAAAGUGAAAGUGAAGUCGCUUAGUCAUGUCCAACUGUUAGCAACCCCAUGGACUGCAGCCUACCAGGCUCCUCUGUCCAUGGGAUUUUCCAGGCAAGAGUACUGGAGUGGGGUGCCAUUGCCUUCUCUGGAUGCUGGUACAGACAGGCUCAACUGCACCACAAAUGGAAUUAAGUGUUAAAAACACAUGCUUCAUCAUUGCCUACCCUGAGUCUUUAGUUCUUUGGGACCCACUGAUCAAGUUCAACCUCCAUGUUUGAUAGAGGAGGAAACGGAGCUCCUGAGAAGGGAGGCACCCAUUCUGGGUGACAAAGCAAGUCACUGGCCAAAAGUCGUAUCCUUCUGACUACAAAUAUAUUCAGUAUUUUUCUCUCCAACAAACAACCCCUUUCCUGGUCCUGAUGAAUGAAUCAGUAUGUACGUGGGAAGUGCCUGUGCUGGGCCCUGUACAAGGACAGGAUGGACAGUGUCCCCGGUCACAGACGGCAGGUCCUGCUGCCUCGCAAGUUAUUUUCAAUGUUUUCAGACUCUGAGGACGCUGCAGCCCUC
ensembl:lncRNA